AUACAUUUAUUUAUCAUUUAUCUGCAAACUAAAUUUAAUUAUAAUGAACACUCUAUUGAAGAUGUUCUUGAAGUAUGUGGUGUUACUUGUUGCUAUUGCAGGUAUUUUGGCUGGCGGUGUACAAGGAAAACUACCUCCUUGUUACAAUGAUAUAGAAUGUCAACCACUUGAGUGUCCUACGCUCCCCUGUUGCCAGCCUCCUUCCAAUGAUAUGGAAGCUUAAAACUUUAGACCUCUUGUUUUUACAUACCCAAUAAUUAUAUUUAAUAAAAAGUCCUUCAUAUAUGUAUUAAUAAUAUUGCAUCAAUAAGAUUGGUAUGAAUAUAUAAUUUUAUAUUUUUUGAAA
rnacentral:lncRNA from 1 species